UAGUAAGAGUAUAUUAAAGAACAUUAUUGAUAAUACACGGAUAUUUUACACGUCAGCAGAGGAAUUACAAUAGUUCAAGAUGAGUAAUCGAGAGGCUCACGGUCCGGAGCACCAACACCAUCCUCCUCGGCCGGACAAUCGAGGCAGCCUGAGAAUUGAGCCUCUAUGGUGUGAUGUUUGGUCAGCUGUCUCUUGUACUAUGAAGAACUGCAAUGGAAGAAGAGACAGUGCUUGAUUCGGCAGGUGAACUGCACCUAUUUUAUGGUGGAGCAACUUUUUCAAGAGGAAAUUGUUGACAAUGUCACAGAGGAUGAUGGUGUGGUCGUGGUGCCAGAGAUCUAUUGUCCUUUGUCAGACCAAAAGCCUUUGAUAUCACCAUUGAAUGUCUAGGAGUUAUACCAACAGACACUUGAUGUCAUCCAAAGACUGUGCUCCAUUUAAAUUGUAAAAGUCAUUUUCAGGUUUACAAGAUACAAAAGCUGGUUCACAGAUGUACCUUUCCUUUAAAACUAUUUCCCACCUGUAAUCACAAUGGAGACACAUCUCUGACUGCUGGGCUUCCCCUCUUAUUGUGUUCGGAUUCAUAUGCAUCUGCAGGGUUAUUCAUGGCAACACUUUAUAGCGUUGUGCUGGUAAUUUAUCUUUAUAUAUCAUGCCUUCUCACUACAUCUGUCAGCCUGUGCUUUACAUAUCUGAGAGUCAACGCAGCUAAACAUGAAGGACAAAUGCAAUGCAAGAUGUUAUAUAUCGGCAUAUGGAUGAUUAGAUUAGAAACUGCUUUCUGUUGGUGUGUUUAAACAUCACAUGACAUAGAAAAUUAACUGUCCUCCAUUUUCCUCCUUAGAUUUAAUUUGUACUUUAGACGUCAAUGGGUACACUCUCAUGUGUGCUUACCAUCAUUUAUCAAAAUAUCUUCUCAGCAGAAUAAAGAAACUUAAAUAGGUUUACAACAACAUGAGACUGAGUAAAUAAUAACAGAAUUUUCAUUUUUGUGUGAACUAUCCCUUUAAGACUCUGUAAACCAUUCAGAUGCAUGUAAAAUCAUUAACAACUGUUAAACAGCAUCUAUAAAUGAUAAAAAAGACAUUACUAUUGGGAGAAACAUUUUGUCUAGACAUUUGAGUUCAUUUCAACUGACACU